UACGGAGGAUCCAAGCGUUAUCCGGAUUUAUUGGGUUUAAAGGGUGCGUAGGCGGGCUUGUAAGUCAGUGGUGAAAGCCCGGAGCUUAACUCCGGAAUUGCCGUUGAUACUGCAAGUCUUGAGUACAGUUGAGGUGGGCGGAAUACAUCAUGUAGUAGUGAAAUACUUAGAUAUGAUGUAGAACACCGAUUGCGAAGGCAGCUCACUAAAGUGUAACUGACGCUGAGGCACGAAAGCGUGGGGAUCAAACAGG
rnacentral:rRNA from 1 species